AAAAAAAUCAAGCAAACAAUUCCAUUUAAAAUCCCAUCAAAAAAUAAAUCAGUAGGGAACUUAACUAAGGAAGUUUUGAAAAUUAUAAAGCAUUGGUAAAAGAGACUGAAAACACAAAAAAAGUUGGAAAGUUAUCCCAUGUUCAUGAAUUAGAGGAAUUAAUGUUUUUAAAAUGUCCACGCUCUCCAAAUCAAGCUGUAGGUAGGGUCAGUGGAAUUCCUAUCCAAAUUUCAGUGUCAUUCUUCACAGAAAUAGAAAAAAAGACAGGACUAAAAUUGGUUCGGAAGCACAGAAUAUUCCAGUGGCCAGACAGGACAGAGCAGCCCAGGGGCUGUGUGCAGGCACUGCCUGCGUCUCUCCGACUGUGUGUCUGCUCUCUCUUACCGAGGCCUUGCAGUUUUUCUGGAUGCCAGGCACACGCUGAGGUGAAAGCAAGAGAGGCAGCCUUGUGCGGCCACACCUAGGCCCAGCCUGGUGCCAGUCUUCGCUCACCAUGGGCGGAGCUGCAGCAUUGGGGGCAAGUGGCCCUCAGGCCCUCCUCCUGUCCCUCACAGCUCUGUGGAACUGCGUGAGCCUUCUUCCUGCUGAAGAGCCCGCAAGAUACAGGAAGAGGCGUCCUCCGGCCCUGUGCCUGGGUCUCCUUGCUCAGGGAGCCAGUGUCCUUGGACUGUGACCUCUCAAGCACUUCUUGCUCCUUCCCCUUUGUGACCCAGGAAGGCUGGAGGCCCACACUGGGCUUUCCCGGUGACCUCAGUUCCCCGAUGGGUUGAUUUCCAGUUUGUUGGACCUUUCCUUGUCAGGGUGAAGGGGCUGGCGAUGGCCACACCCUUCACAGCUGCACCAGGAGCCAGGAGAGUGCGGUGUCCUCCUCCUCCACAUCCCACUGUCCAAAUGUGCCCUUAGACCUGCUCACUAGCGUUAAUCUAGCCACUCUCCAGUGCUUGGAAGAAAUCUUUUAAAUGGUCUGAACUUUUUGUUUUGUAAUAAAUAAUUUAUAAUAAAUAAUUU
rnacentral:lncRNA from 1 species